rnacentral:rRNA from 1 species
CUGCUCAAUGAUUUUUUAAAUUGCUGUGGUAUUUUGACUAUACGAAGGUAUUGAAAUAAGGCUUUAAAUGGGUGCUAAGAGAAUGGUUUAACAAUUAAUAACUUUCUUUAAAUAAAAAAUUGAAUUUAAUUUUUUAAGUGAAAAAGCUAAAAUGAUGAUUAGGGACAAGAAGACCCUAUGAAUUUUUAUUAUAUGAUUAUAUAAUUUGAUUGGGGCGAUAUGAAAAGAUUAGGAAUCUUUUUUUAAGAUUAAUUUGUUCCGUUAAUAGCGAUUAAAUGAGAAAAAUACUCUAGGGAUAACAGCGUAAUAAUUUUGGAUAGUUCAUAUAGAUAAAAUAGUUUGCGACCUCGAUGUUGGAUUAGGAUACUUUUUUGGUGAAGAAGUUAAAAAAAGAAGUUUGUUCAACUUUUAAAUUCCUACUUGAUCUGAGUUCAGACCGG